UAGCUGAAACCCGUGUCUACGUUCAAAUUUCGGGUUAGUGAAUUAUUUUGUGGGCUAGUAACUUUCAGGCAUAGCUAGCCCGACUGGCUA